GCAGUGUGUGGCUGUGACCUGGCCCAGUCCGGGUUCUUCAUGAAGAAUGGGGACUACCUUUGCCCCCUGGACUUCCAGAGGCUUCAUGGCACGCUCUGCAACAACUGUGGGGAAUUUGUGGAAGGAGAGGUGGUAACAGUCUUGGGGAAGAGCUACCACCCGGCCUGCUUCGUCUGCACCAUUUGCAAAAAACCCUUUCCUGCUGGGGAUUGUGUGACUUUCAGUGGAAAAGACUGCCUCUGUCAGCGAUGUAUUCAGCCAGUGUCUGCAGCUCCUACUGACACCGGCCAUUC